GGUGACAAACCGGAGGAAGGUCGGGAUGACGUCAAGUCAUCAUGGCCCUUACGGCCAGGGCUACACACGUGCUACAAUGGUCGGUACAGAGGGUUGCCAAGCCGCGAGGUGGAGCUAAUCUCACAAAACCGAUCGUAGUCCGGAUCGCAGUCUGCAACUCGACUGCGUGAAGUCGGAAUCGCUAGUAAUCGUGAAUCAGAAUGUCACGGUGAAUACGUUCCCGGGCCUU
rnacentral:rRNA from 1 species